AAUUGUUAAUUCAUUCUUUUCACCAUGUGGGUUCCAGCAAUUGGACUAUUUUCUUUCUUUCUUUCUUUCUUUCUUUCUUUCUUUCUUUCUUUCUUUCUUUCUUUCUUUCUUUUGUUUUUCGAGACAGGAUUUCUCUGUGCAGCUUUGGAGCCUAUCCUGGCCACUCACUCUGUAGACCAGGCUCACCUUGAAUUCACAGAGAUCAGCCUGCCUCUGCCUCCCGAGUGCUGGGAUUAAAGGCGUGUGCCACCAAUGCUUGGCUCAGCGAUUGAACUCUUUUUUGUGAGGUUUGGUGACAAGUGCCCUUAAUUGCUGAGCCAUCUCACUGUCUCCAGUAUUAUAAGAAAUUUUUGUUGUUGUUUGAAUUGUGUCAUUGAAUAAUAAGGUGACUAUACCAAGACCUACUGAGUAAGCUGUGCCAUUUAUGUUCUUUCCUGUCCUGUAGGAGGUGUCACCAACUUGUCAGUGACUAUUGAUCUGACAGCUACACAUGAGGACAAAGAGAGGCUUGACCGCUGUACAGCAUUAGGUCUGAUGUGUGAGGGCUGUCAGAAAUUCCUUCAGACAUUAUAUCACUGUAUUUCUUCAGCAUCUUUCAUUCCAGUGAUGCCCAUAAGCCUACGUUGGCCUUUAAGAUAGAGGCAAGUUGCAGAAGCUGUGCUUAGCUCGUGUGAAAGUAAUGUUCUCGCUUCUGUUGUAGCAACUAAUUUCAUGCUGCUUCCUCUUAGAUGGUUAUGGAAUAAGGGAAUUGGCUGAUUGGAGCAGAUCUUCAAUCCUCUACCGAAUUUAUUGGCAUGAUGGUCUUCAUCAGUAUAGUCUUAUUCCUACUGAGCUCAACCAGAGGUUUAAAUAUAUGAAUUCUGGUGAAUUGUAAUACUGAAUGGUAGCAGUGAAUGUCAUCUGUUGGAAUAGGAAGUCUCCAGUCCAUGGCUUUACCCAUUUCUAAUUCUGAGCUUCCGUGCUCAUUACUUAUGCUGUCUUUGCAUUUCAGUUGUGUAACCCAAUGCAAAACGGAAUGCUCUGCUAAUGCAGGACACCCACAAGCAGCUUUUAGAGAGGGGCUUCUGGAUGAAGCAGCAUGCUUCAGUGCUGGAAGAGGGUAUCUUGAACCAUAAAACAACAGUAGUGGCCGUCUUUUUGUCUCCUAUGAUGUAUGCUGGGCCAACUGAGGAAGGCUGCUUGUAGGAUGUCAGUGCAGUGCUAAAGUCACUGUUGUGAACACCAUAACCUCACCACCCUUCCUGUUGGCUUUUCCCUGAUGGCUAGGUGUGUUCCAAAUAUUCAUUACUUCUGAGUACUCUCCUACUGCUGGAAAUGUCCUCUAGUGCUGCACCCCGUGGGCAUCCUGUUGUUGGGAAGCUUGAGAGAGGUUUCUUUGCCUCUUUUUAUGGUUCUUGAUCCAAACUGUGAGGAAUAUAUGGAAGCUAGAACAGGGAAGGUUGUUUUGUGUCCACCAGCCAAGGUCCAGACACAGUUAAAGACAACACUUCUGUUAUGAUAAAUCUUUCUGCCAAAAGCCGCCUGAGCCCAACAGCCACCUGUGAGCUUUACACCAGCCGCCUGCCUGGGAUAGGGCCCAAAUGAACACACAGAAACUUACAUUAGGUUCAAAGCUGCUUGGCCAAUGACUAGGAUUCCUUAUCUGUUAGCUCAGUCUUAAUUAUCAUAAAUCUUUAUAUUUUAUAAGACUUAUCUUAUUGGAUGCCUUAUUGGCAUCCCUCAUUGCCUGUGGCUCACAUCCUGCUGCUGGAGGAGGCAAACAGGAAAAAAAGGGCCACUUCCUGUUUCCUCACUUAGAUAUGAGUCUCCUUGCUAUAUCACUUCCUGCCUGGAUCACCACUUAUCUACUUAAUUUCCCAGAAUCCUCUUUGACUCCUAGUCCUGUCUAAUUCCCUGUCUUCAUUGGCCAAACAGUAUUUUAUUUAACAAUCAAGAAGAUAAACAUACACAGAAGUACAUUCCCCAUCAUCUCCUCUUUUUCUGUCUAAAUAAAAGAAGGAUAACUUAUCA
rnacentral:lncRNA from 1 species